rfam:Gracilibacillus boraciitolerans JCM 21714 DNA, contig:contig_21.
GAUUCCGUAGCUCAGUUGGGAGAGCGCUACCUUGACAGGGUAGAGGUCGCUGGUUCGAGACCAGUCGGAAUCA